rnacentral:rRNA from 1 species
UAGGGAAUCUUCCACAAUGGACGCAAGUCUGAUGGAGCAACGCCGCGUGAGUGAAGAAGGUUUUCGGACCGUAAAGCUCUGUUGUUGGUGAAGAAGGAUAGAGGUAGUAACUGGCCUUUAUUUGACGGUAAUCAACCAGAAAGUCACGGCUAACUACGUGCCAGCAGCCGCGGUAAUACGUAGGUGGCAAGCGUUGUCCGGAUUUAUUGGGCGUAAAGCGAGCGCAGGCGGAAGAAUAAGUCUGAUGUGAAAGCCCUCGGCUUAACCGAGGAAUUGCAUCGGAAACUGUUUUCUUGAGUGCAGAAGAGGAGAGUAGAACUCCAUGUGUAGCGGUGGAAUGCGUAGAUAUAUGGAAGAAUACCAGUGGCGAAGGCGGCUCUCUGGUCUGCAACUGACGCUGAGGCUCGAAAGCAUGGGUAGCGAACAGGAUUAGAUACCCUGGUAGUCCAUGCCGUAAACGAUGAGUGCUAAGUGUUGGGAGGCUUCCGCCUCUCAGUGCUGCAGCUAACGCAUUAAGCACUCCGCCUGGGGGGCUAC